rnacentral:rRNA from 1 species
CGUGUCGUGAGAUGUUGGGUUAAGUCCCGCAACGAGCGCAACCCUUGAUCUUAGUUGCCAGCAUUCAGUUGGGCACUCUAAGGUGACUGCCGGUGACAAACCGGAGGAAGGUGGGGAUGACGUCAAAUCAUCAUGCCCCUUAUGACCUGGGCUACACACGUGCUACAAUGGACAGAACAAAGGGCAGCGAAACCGCGAGGUUAAGCCAAUCCCACAAAUCUGUUCUCAGUUCGGAUCGCAGUCUGCAACUCGACUGCGUGAAGCUGGAAUCGCUAGUAAUCGCGGAUCAGCAUGCCGCGGUGAAUACGUUCCCGGGCCUU